rnacentral:rRNA from 1 species
AGCCUGAACGCUGGCGGCGUGGCUAAGACAUGCAAGUCGCACGGGGUAGCAAUACCCAGUGGCGAACGGGAGAGUAAUGAAUCGCUAAUGUACCCCGGACUCUGGGAUAGCUACCCGAAAGGGUAGGUAAUACCAGAUGACAUAACCCUGUCGCAUGACAGGGUUCUCAAAGGUCCGCCGGUCCGGGAGCAGGCGAUUUCGAUCAGCUAGUUGGUGGGGUAACGGCCCACCAAGGCGACGACGCGUAGCCGGACUGAGAGGUUGGCCGGCUCAUUGGGACUGAGACACUGCCCAGACUCCUACGGGGGGCUGCAGUAACGAAUCUUCCGCAAUGCACGAAAGUGUGACGGAGCGACGCCGCGUGUGGGACGAAGGCCCGUUCGGGUAGUAAACCCACGUGUCGAGGGGGUUUACCAAGGUUUCGUGACGGAACCCCAGGAGGAAGCGACGGCUAACUCGUGUGACCAGCAGCCGAC